rnacentral:rRNA from 1 species
GAUGAACGCUAGCGGCAGGCUUAAUACAUGCAAGUCGAGGGGCAGCAUGGUGUAGCAAUACACUGAUGGCGACCGGCAAACGGGUGCGGAACACGUACAGAACCUUCCUUCGAGCGGGGAAUAGCCCAGAGAAAUUUGGAUUAAUACCCCAUAGUAUAUUGGAGUGGCAUCACUUUGAUAUUAAAGAUUUAUCACUUGAAGAUGGCUGUGCGGCUGAUUAGGUAGUUGGCGGGGUAACGGCCCACCAAGCCUACGAUCAGUAACUGGUGUGAGAGCACGACCAGUCACACGGGCACUGAGACACGGGCCCGACUCCUACGGGAGGCAGCAGUAAGGAAUAUUGGACAAUGGACGCAAGUCUGAUCCAGCCAUGCCGCGUGAAGGAUUAAGGUCCUCUGGAUUGUAAACUUCUUUUAUAUGGGACGAAAAAAGAUCAUUCUUGAUCACUUGACGGUACCAUGUGAAUAAGCACCGGCUAACUCCGUGCCAGCCGCCGCAGUAACAC